UAAAACGUCAGCUGAGUCUCUCUGGUCCUCUUUCCUUUCUUACCACUCAUGUGCCCCAUUCCUCUGUUUUUGUCUUAGAUUGCAAGCUUUUUGGAGCAAAAAGAAAACACAGGAAUAAAAUUCUCUUCUUUGCCCUGCUUUUGGCUGAGGCCUCAAGAUACCACUGUAAUAAAAUCCAGUGGUUUGAUGCAAAGUGCCACUGAAGAAGAGCAGUUUCCGCUGGAUCUGCGUUGCAUCCCUUACCAAGGAGACAGCGUUAUUCCGCCUCUAAUGGCACGGUCUUGUGUCUCCCCUGCCCUGAGCGCAGCAGAGCAGCGCGCUGAAUGCGGACCUCCCGAGAGCAUCUCUGCAGCUCCCGAGCCUUGGGGCUCGCCACCUCGUGGCACGCAGGUUACCCCACGCCUGAGCGCCUCACCUGCCACAGAUGCAGCACCAAAGACAAGGUUGUGAUGCCUGGGACCUCCAGAUACUUUUGAUGGGAGAUCAUAACCUGUUCUCAUGAAAAAGAAAAUCCUCAUCACAAAAGGACAUGUCUUACCCAU
rnacentral:lncRNA from 1 species